rnacentral:lncRNA from 1 species
AAACUGAAGGUUAAUUCCGCUCCAAGCCUCCUCCGGAGUCAUAGCUUUCGACAGCCAAGGUAGGACUGCGAUUUAGGACGAUUGAACAGUCAAUUCACAGAUUCAGGCCAAAAGUUAUUUGGAAAUCUUUUUCUCCGAAAGCAAACUCCGCACCAUAUUCAUUAACCGUCCUAUUCUCCUUGCGGCAACUCCAUUUGUUGUGGAGUGUAUGCAGCCGUUAGUUCCUCUUGAUUCCCAUUUCUUUACCAGAAAUGAUUAAAUCUUGUGAAGGUGAACAUCCCCUCAUUGAAUCAGUUACGUAAACACUUGAGGUAAUUCCAUGUUUCUUUCUCAACAAGACUCUUGAAGUAUUUAAAAGUGAUGAAUGCAUCGACUUCUCAACAAAAAGUAUAUCCAUAGUUUUCGAGGAAAGUCAAUCAAUGAACCAGAUUGACUAACUCUUGUUGCUAUUUGAUAUGGGAGUGCUCGGACCACACAACUCUGCAGGAUCAUUGGCGUUUCUGUGUUGCCCUCCAAGUGCUCUUCUUUGGAAUGGCAUAGGUCUCGGUUUGCUUUCCUACCAGCAUUGUUUGUACUAAUAUUGUGGAGGCAGAGAAUUGUGGCAGUCCACGGCACCAUUUUCUUGAACUGAAGAGUUCGAGACCCUUGUAGCUUAGAUGACCGAACCUUGCAGUGCCACAAAAAGGGACAAACUGAGAGGUUGUAUGAAAACAAGCUUGCCUUCGUGGUGAGGACCUAGCCACCAGAAAGAACAUUCUAUUUUCUGGACAUCUCGGUUUGGGAUAAUCAAGCCCCUUCAUUGGAUGGUAGAUCCGACACAAAACCACGUGGAUUAAGAUGAUUAAUCCUUCUCCUGCAGCUGACGAUACUCACCAAGUUGUCCUUAACUCCGAAACAAAUAAAACACUCGGGAACCACAUGCAAGAACCACUCAACAUCAGUACCUCACUUCCCUUUUCCCAUCACGGACAUCUUUCGAAAUUAUUUCCAAGUUUCCUAUCUGCCCGCACCCUUUCGUUGAGAUCGCUUAAACAAGGUUUUGCUCAACACAUGUGGUUGCUGCAUCCUGAAUCUAGAAACCACACAUCUUCUCUUCUUUCUCCCGAUCAGCUCAACGUAUGACAUUAGCAACAUUUCUUUCAUCUACCGAGUCAGCAUAUAAUGGCUUCCCAGCUAGGACACUCAUAUUGGAAGUGUACCGAGCUUAUGGCACUUGUAACAUUCAACAAUGGAUUGUCGGAAGAUCUGACGCCCUCUACUCUACCUUUUCCUCUAAAUGAAUCCUCGGCCUCGGCCUCGGCCUCUCCCUCCUGAUCUGUCAUCAGAUUACUUUUAAGGCUUGUUCUUCCCCAUGAUGCUUAUGAACUUAUGCUCGAUGAACAAUUAGAGAGCUUUGCCAACUCAUCGAUGGAUAGACGCAAUAUCUUCGGACUCCUCAAUUAGAACAAAACAAUGUAAUUUAAAUUUGUCUGUUAAAGGAACGAAGUAUUUCUCUACAAAUUAGUAACAUCCACCAUGCGCUCACCAUUGCACCCUCAUUUUGUUAGCCACUGACAUGACCCUUGAAAAAUAAUAGAAAACUUUCUCACCAGAUGUAUCUCCAAAGGUUUCAAACUCUUUAGAAGAGCUUGAAGAACUGAUCGAUAUCAACUAGUGCAUUUCCCCUUCAUAUUUUUUUUUCAUUGAGUCCCAAAUCUGCGUUGAGGGUUAUUCUGAAGAAUGGUCUCCCAAAAAUGUUCGGUCAAUGGCCUGGAACAAAUAAUCUUUACCUUCAGAUCCUCAACUUCAACUAGUCAAGCCUUCUUUGCUGGCUUCUGUCAAGCCGCUCCAUCCUCGGAUCAGAAUAUCCAAUCUCACCAAGAGACUCCAAUUACUCUUUAGACAUUAGAAAAUUUCCAUUAGCUACUCAUGCGCAUAAUGGACCAUCGAAAUCGAGGAAUUGCAGGUUGCCACAAAAUUCCCUUCACUCGCUAUCUUUCUCUCUCUGUUUGGAAGUUCUCAAAGUCUGCCCUACUUUUUCGCUCAGCCCAGUGGGGGCUCUUAUACCAGAAUGUUGAGAACUAAGAACUCAAGGUAAAACUUAUGAACUUGAGCACAGGCAAAACAAAUCUGGGAAUCCUUCUUAUUGAAUGAAACAGAACUGGGGCUAUUAAAUAGCUUUACAAACAUAACAGAAAGCAACAAAUAAGCCCACGUUCAUGCUAACUAAAAUCGUGGUAAUCAACAGAAGAAUAGGUCAAUAACAACCUACUUCCCUAUUCAAUAGGGAGUAUUCAAACCAGAAAGAUAAAGACUCUAACUGAAAAAACCUAUUAUCUUGACCAUUUUUUUUCUAACAGAUCUGAAAUCUGUUUCAGCACAAUUUUUUUCUUCAAUAAAACAGUUUCUGCAAUUAGGUUUUUUUUUCCGAUACAGAUUCUGAAAAUCAGAAUCUGGAAAUAUUCUAUAAAAAUAAAAACAGUUUUGAAAUUGGUCCACGGUAUCAUUCUUGCAAUUCAAA